rnacentral:rRNA from 1 species
UACGAAGGGGGCUAGCGUUGCUCGGAAUAACUGGGCGUAAAGGGCGCGUAGGCGGAUGAUUAAGUCGGAGGUGAAAGCCCAGGGCUCAACCCUGGAAUUGCCUUCGAUACUGAUCGUCUCGAGAAUGGAAGAGGUAAGUGGAAUACCGAGUGUAGAGGUGAAAUUCGUAGAUAUUCGGUGGAACACCAGUGGCGAAGGCGACUUACUGGUCCAUUUCUGACGCUGAGGCGCGAAAGCGUGGGGAUCAAACAGG